GACGAACGCUGGCGGCGUGCUUAACACAUGCAAGUCGAGCGGAAAGGCACUGCUUUUGUGGGGUGCCCGAGUGGCGAACGGGUGAGUAACACGUGAGUAACCUGCCCUUGACUUUGGGAUAACUUCAGGAAACUGGGGCUAGUAUCGGAUAGGAGCCCCUGCUCCAUGGUGGGGGUUGGAAAGUCUCGGCGGUUGGGGAUGGACUCGCGGCUUAUCAGCUUGUUGGUGGGGUAGUGGCUUACCAAGGCUUAGAAGGGUAGCCGACCUGGGAGGGUGACCGGCCACAUUGGGACUGAGAUACGGCCCAGACUCCUACAGUAGGCAGCAGUGGGAAAUAUUGCACAAUGGGCGGGAGCCUGAUGCAGCAACGCCGCGUGCGGGAUGACGGCCUUCGGGUUGUAAACCGCUUUCGCCUGUGACGAAGCGUGAGUGACGGUAAUGGAUAAAGAAGCACCGGCUAACUACGUG
rnacentral:rRNA from 1 species